UCUGGCGGCAGUAGCGCGGUGGUCCCACCUGACCCCAUGCCGAACUCAGAAGUGAAACGCCGUAGCGCCGAUGGUAGUGUGGGGUCUCCCCAUGCGAG
rnacentral:rRNA from 4 species